UGGAGAAACUGGUUAUUUUACCAAGGCUUUGAUGGGAAUGGCGUGGUUCCCUUUAAGGAAGCAAAUAUGACUUAUAGAGCCAAUAAAAGCCCCUUGGGAAAACUGGCCUCAUACCUUGUCUACACAGUACUUGUACAGGGCUCCUGACCUAUGCUAUGCGGUUCAGCGGGAUGACCCCGCUACGGAGCAUUAUUGUCUCAUUCCAGUCGAAUGGACCAAUGACAUAGCAAUGUGUGACCUUGAGACUGGAGAAGGGAUUGAGCCUAACUUCAUCCCCCACCCCCUUCCAGCCUCCAUUCUACCUCUACUUUCAGCAUUUUCUUACUUGCAGACCCAGAAGAGGUUGGAGGUCCUGGCCAGUCUCUCACUCUUUUCCUUCUUCACUCACAUUUUUAUGUGUCUUUAAGUGGCUGGGAACAGCCAUGUUGACUCCAUACACCCAGAAGGUUGAGGAGAGUUUGCUAUUACAUCACUUCUGCUAAUUUCAGCUCUGCUGAUGAGCACACAGACCUCAGCAAAUCAACCAGACCAUUUCCAACCCCUCUUGACUUUAAGAAGACUGGGUCAUGCUCUGAGAAAUGAAAGCAGAGAAGGAGACGGCUUGCAAGCCCCCUGAGGUUACCACGAUAAGUGGGCUUGAGAGGGAGGUAAAAGCAAUUCAGAGGACCACUUGGGAAAGCCCAGACAGGAUAUUAUCAGUGGCCUGUGUAAAGUUCCCAUCACCAUCUAAAGUGAAAGAUGCCAGAAUUCUAAAAACUGACUGCAUUAUCUUCUCAGCUCUGCUUUGUGACUUCUAAGAAUUCAACUGCUUUUCUAUUUUAAAAUAGGGACAUUGUCCUCCUUCUCAAUGCAUCACCUGUAUCAUUUGGGACAUGCCCAUCAUCAGGUUGCUUUGACUGAACACCUUAAACAUUUCAUGGAAAACAGAAAAUAUGUGAAAAAAAAAUCUCCUCCUUGUCACGAGAUCCCAUAUAACACUCCAGCUUCUUCUUUAAUGUGGUGGAAAAACAUUCUAAAUACCCCAACGGAAGGGCAAGAAAACUGGAACCUAACUGACCAUCUUGAAACAUGUAAUAAAAACAGACACAUCAACCACACUUCCCAACAGGCUUGCUCCCUGAAUGUACACUAGUAAUUAUCUGAGGCUGUAACUGAAUUCAGCUAAAACAGAGAAGGCAGCUAUAGAGAAGCUCAGCACUUCUCUCAGGAACCCCUAAUCCUGAUGGAUUCCAGUCCACUGGGUCAUGAUGCCCUAAGAUUUCAAGUGCUGUGGCUGCAAACUGGAAAUUCUCCAAGGCUCUCCAAGGUGUGGAGUACUUUCUAAUCAUGAAGGCUGCUCCAGUAGGGUUUGGUGCAACACCACUUUUAUGCUGAGCUGCAAAACAAGGCAGGUAGUCAUAAUUGUGAGCUGUUUUCUGGAGCGAAAUACAGAGGGCACGUUUGAUGUCACCCCUUCCCUCUUGCCUGGCUUUCUUCCUUUCCUUGCUUCUGAUUGCCUGGUCAAAUAUCCAGCGCAGAUCAUGCCAGUCUGCCUAAAUGCAUUUCUCUCUGUCUGAAUGUAACAAAAUAAUCCCAACAACAAAAAUAAACUUUGGCUAGUAUCUCAA